AUUUUGGCUAAGGAUUUCAUAAGGAAACCCUAGCCGCACCCCGCUGCCACCUCACGCUCCAUUCUCUCUCCGCGUCAGCUUGCCAAUUCCGGCAAAGAAUCAUAGAAACCCAGGCUCCCCAGUCCUUUCCAUGGAAAAAUCUAGAAAUGCAUUUAUUGCACCGCAGGGAUUCCUCUAUUCUCUCACCAAACAACAACCAAGCACCGUAAUUCGCGCCGUUUCUUUCACCAUUUUGCUAAUCUCAGAGUCACGCGUUGUAAUUUUCGUCAAUAUCCGUUGUAUUUGUGUUUUGAAAACUCGAUUUCUAUUGGUUGUUGGAUUAUGAACUGGAUCGAUCAAAUUCGAUCUAGAUCUAGCCAUGUAUUUGUUACUUUGGCUUAAUCGUAGCCAUAGAAUCAUGAACCAAACAAAUUCAUCCAGAAACUUGGCAUAGUCCCACAUCGAUUAAACUAGGGUUUCAACCAGCUUUGGGGUUCUAUAAAUAGAACCCCAUUUCUCGAAGUUUCAGACAGACGAAGACACUGAAAAAAAAUCUGAAUUUGAGUUUUCAAACCUAAAAUUUGGAAUUUUAGUUCAAAGUUUUCAAGACUUAACUUUUUUCAAAGUUGAGUCUACUAGUUCAAAGAUUUGAUUUUCUUUGCUUUUGUAUGGCUGAGUUGAGGAGAGGAAGCACCCAGGGCUUUCAAAUCCAUUUUUGUACGCGGCUACACACUCAAAAGGUAAAUUACUAUCUUAUUCUUGUUUUUGCUGUCAAUUCCUGUCUAGUUUGAGUUUGUUGAGUUUUGUUUGAGUCUGAUAAUGUCUAGUAUAGGAGUAUACUAUUGGGUGGCUCAUUGCUUGAUGUUUAGUGUCAUUUUACUUAGUUUAUAACCAGAUGAAUGGAUAUUAGUUCCUGAGACCUAUGUUUAAGUAUCUGUUAGCCUAGAUAACCCAUAAUGAGAUUUCUUUAAGGGCCAAUGGUGAUCCAGGCCAUUGAUAAGGUCAUAUCUGAACAUGAACUCUAAAACUUUAGCUUAACCAAUUAUGUGAGGGCCUGUGUACGCUAAUCUCAAAUGGUGAUUAGUCUAAUUAGAUAAAAAAAAAAACAUGUCAAUUUAAGGUUCCCAGGCUUGUAAUGAAAUUGGAAAUGGCAAUGUGACUUUGUUUCCUAUCAAUAUGGUUAAAAUGGUCCUGAUAAUCUAUGAUGUUAGAAAAGAAAUGAAAUAGUAGUAUCCCUCCCUCAUCUUGGGCACCUAGUCUAAUCAUCUAGAUGUCUAAACAACUUAAAAUAAUAGUCUUUAGUGGCCUGGGAAAUAUGAGUCUGCUUCAUCUUCCUUCUCUUUUGCUUAAACUGUCUAAGGCUAACAUUGAAAUGAUUAAUUGAGAAUUAAACAGGUAUAACUAUCAUUUGGAUUAGCAAGAUAAAAUUUGAACUUUCUCUGCUAGGGACAUGUAUUUGUUUUUCCUUAACUAAUGGAAUCAUAUCCUGUCACAACUGUCCUAUAGUUUGGAAAACCGAUCUUAAGUAAAAACAGUGUAUAGGUUUACUUAGCUUUUAUCAUGGUUUGAUGGGAUCAAAGAUUACUUUACUUGAUAGAAUUCUAGGUUGUUUAAUUGGAAAUACUAGUAUAUGUCAAGGGUUGGUUAAGCAUGUGUCUGAAUUUGGCUCAGUGAUAGUAUUAGGAGAAGCCUGAAUGUGCAUAUGUGAGUUAUAAACCACCUGACAUGAGGAGACCUUUUAAAAGGCAUCCUGGGAGAGGGUCAAGCAUGAAUCAAGUGCAACUUGGGUCAUGGCAUUCGCUUCCAAAUAAAGGAAGCCAUGGUAUGUCCUAUUAUGUCUAUGAGGUAGAGGCUCACUAUGUAUACACUUCUAGCCUUCCAAUUCUUAUCACUGGACUAAGGGAAGAGGAGAUAAAAAAUGAAUUUGUUGGUGUCCAAACAGGCUGUUGUAGUCAAAAAAUGAAAUCUUCCCAUUCUAAGUUAUGGCUUUUUCUAGAAACAGUAAAGGAAUUAGUUAGAAGGAAAUCUUUGGUAAUAAAAUUUAGUCCCGCAAGGAAUGCUAAAAUAGUGAAGUCUUUUUAUCUGUUUGAACCUUUGUGUUAUACCUUGUCUUUAAGAUUGUGCCUGAAGUAAAAAGGACACAAAUUCCAUUUCCGCUAAAACCAAAACCAUGACAAAGCACUGCAUCUUUUUCCUGUACACUUCUUUUAAUUUAUUGAAUUGAUUAGGGCUUGAAUAAACACCAUAUAUCUUCUUUGUCUUCCGGAAUCUGCCUAAGCUUGUGCUCUUCUGUGUCACCAUAUUUGUUAGAGUCUACUGAAGUCUUGUGUCCCCUUUAUUGCUUGAUAUCACAUAGAACCUUAGGAGUCAGUGUACUUGUUUGGAUCUCUGUACCUAUCUCAUGAGCUGACGAGUAUUUGGGCUAUAUUGAACCCGUUUGAGCCAUUGUCCAGCAUUUCAGUUGACUAGUUUGAGUUUGGGUUCGCCUUAGAUCAGGUUUGAACAUUGCUGUAGAAGAAGAUUAAGGAAUCAAAAAUAAGCUUAAGCUUAAAAAGUAGAUUUGAAAUCAAAUAUACAAAGGGAUAUAUACAUACUUAAUAGAAGAGAAGAGAUAUACAUGUGGUAUACACUUGAUAUACAUAUCAGAUGUGUCUACUAUUGGUACAUCAUGUGUAUACAUUAAUAGGUUGAUCCCGUACAGAAUGUAUAUCAACUAUUUUAGGAAUAGAAGACCCAUAAGUUUGAACACUUAGUCAAAAAAAUUAGAAUUAGUAGUGCUUGGGCCUGGCCCAUUUCAUAAUUAGUAUAGAAGCUCCAUAUUCCGCACUUAGAAUAAAAUAAGGGAACACAGGUGGGCUUUGAGGUAGAUGGUAAUGCAACUGGGCUUCCAGCCCAGCUUUUUUUUCUGAAACUGAAUGUGUGUAUAUAUGUUUUACCUCAUGUAUAUAUAUUUUUUGUAGAUUCAUAAUUAUGAUAAGUUCAGUUGUAUUAAUUCUAACUGAGUUUCCCCUUUCUUUUUCCCUCUCCACUGCAUGGGCCACUUGGGCCGAUCCAAGGCCAAAUAGGUCAAUUCUUUCAUAAUUCAAAUGAGUCCAACGAAGAGAAAGGGAAGCAAAUAUUUUAGAUGCGCAUGAGGCCCAGCCACGGGUAAAAAUGGCCAACUAGGAGUUUGGGCUUAGUUGGAUGAGAGUGACGUGAGGGCCGAUGUUCGAUGGUUGUCCCCGAAUCGAGGUUGUGCAUAGCAAUUGUCGAGGUUGUUGCCGGAAUCGUGAGGUAGCAGUUGCUGAGGUUGUUGCCGGAACUGUGAGAGUAUCAGGUCGGAUCCACUUCCGUGACGCGUGGUUGAUAGUCGCUUCAGCUUUCUUUUUGAGUUUCCAGGAGUUCCAGAUAGGAUCGACCUCUGCUUCUCGUGGUUGUUAGUGGUGCGAGAGUUGCAUCUUAGAGUCUUACAGGGUGAGCACGAGGACGUCCGCUGCCUUGGAGAUUCUUCCUUUAUUUUAUGUCUUACUUGCUAUUCCGAGACAUAUUCAGACUAUUGAUGUAUUAUUGAUAUUUCCUGACUCGUAGAUUCUAGUUAGUUGCUCUUAUAUGACUAGACAGAUUUCUGGGGUGGUUUUGAUGUAUUUCGCAUAUUCUAUCUAUUAUUAUUUCAGACUUACAUA